rnacentral:rRNA from 1 species
GACGAACGCUGGCGGCGUGCUUAACACAUGCAAGUCGAACGGAAAGGCCCUGCUUUUGUGGGGUGCUCGAGUGGCGAACGGGUGAGUAACACGUGAGUAACCUGCCCUUGACUUUGGGAUAACUUCAGGAAACUGGGGCUAAUACCGGAUAGGAGCUCCUGCUGCAUGGUGGGGGUUGGAAAGUUUCGGCGGUUGGGGAUGGACUCGCGGCUUAUCAGCUUGUUGGUGGGGUAGUGGCUUACUAAGGCUUUGACGGGUAGCCGGCCUGAGAGGGUGACCGGCCACAUUGGGACUGAGAUACGGCCCAGACUCCUACGGGAGGCAGCAGUGGGGAAUAUUGCACAAUGGGCGGAAGCCUGAUGCAGCAACGCCGCGUGCGGGAUGACGGCCUUCGGGUUGUAAACCGCCUUCGCCUGUGACGAAGCGUGAGUGACGGUAAUGGGUAAAGAAGCACCGGCUAACUACGUG